UACAGAGGUCUCAAGCGUUGUUCGGAUUCAUUGGGCGUAAAGGGUGCGUAGGCGGCGGGGCAAGUCAGAUGUGAAAUCUCGGGGCUCAACUCCGAAACUGCAUUUGAUACUGCCUUGCUAGAGUAUUGGAGAGGAGAUUGGAAUUUACGGUGUAGCAGUGAAAUGCGUAGAUAUCGUAAGGAAGACCAGUGGCGAAGGCGAAUCUCUGGACAAUUACUGACGCUGAGGCACGAAGGCCAGGGGAGCAAACGGG
rnacentral:rRNA from 1 species